rnacentral:lncRNA from 1 species
CUCCUACCAGACGAUAGCUCCAUACAUCAUUUUACUAGAAGAGCCUGAUGCCUACAGAAUUAUAACAACAACAGACACUUUUAUGGAAUUUACAGAAAAUCAGUGGACAACCUUUUCCAUUGUACAUGAUUUUCCAGCCAGGAAAGGAUGGACUAGAUUAUCUGAAUUUCUGCGUUUCACAAGGAAAGAAAAAAUCUUGCCUAGCUGAGCGUGACAGUAUCCCCAUCUGUGAGGAACUGCUCUGGAAGCACUGAUGCAAGGAACAAGUGAUCCCCAGCAACUGCAAGGCAUCCCCUGACCUAAAUCAAAGGAUCACCCAGCACCUGCCACUCAUGAGGUUCCUGCCCGCAAAGGAAUCAUAAAAAAAGAAAU